UACGGGGGGAGCAAGCGUUGUUCGGAUUUACUGGCGUAAAGGGCGCGUAGGCGGUCAGCACAAGUCAGUUGUGAAAUCUCCGGGCUUAACUCGGAAAGGUCAACUGAUACUGUGCGACUAGAGUGCGGAAGGGGCAACUGGAAUUCUCGGUGUAGCGGUGAAAUGCGUAGAUAUCGAGAGGAACACCUGCGGCGAAGGCGGGUUGCUGGGCCGACACUGACGCUGAUGCGCGAAAGCCAGGGGAGCGAACGGG
rnacentral:rRNA from 1 species